AACGAACGCUGGCGGCGUGCUUAACACAUGCAAGUCGAACGCGAAAGAAUUCUUCGGAAUUCGAGUAGAGUGGCGCACGGGUGAGUAACGCGUAAAUAAUCUACCCUGAUGUCAGGAAUAACCAGCCGAAAGGCUGACUAAUACCUGGUAUAUGAUUAUCUGUCGGGAUAAUCAGGAAAGGAGGCCUCUUCUUGAAAGCUUCCGCAUUGGGAUGAGUUUGCGUACCAUUAGCUGGUUGGUGGGGUAAAGGCCUACCAAGGCAACGAUGGUUAGCGGGUCUGAGAGGAUGAUCCGUCACACUGGCACUGAAACACGGGCCAGACUCCUACGGGAGGCAGCAGUGAGGAAUAUUGCGCAAUGGGGGCAACCCUGACGCAGCGACGCCGCGUGAGCGAGGAAGGCCUUCGGGUCGUAAAGCUCUGUCAGAUGGGAAGAAGUGUUAUACGGUUAAUACCCGUAUAAUUUGACGGUACCAUCAAAGGAAGCACCGGCUAACUCCGUGCCAGCAGCCGCGGUAAUACGGAGGGUGCGAGCGUUGUUCGGAAUCACUGGGCGUAAAGGGCGCGCAGGCGGUCUGUUAAGUCAGAUGUGAAAGCCCACGGCUUAACCGUGGAAGUGCAUUUGAAACUGGCAGGCUUGAGUACCAGAGGGGAAAGUGGAAUUCCCGGUGUAGAGGUGAAAUUCGUAGAUAUCGGGAGGAAUACCGGUGGCGAAGGCGACUUUCUGGCUGGAUACUGACGCUGAGGCGCGAAAGCGUGGGGAGCAAACAGGAUUAGAUACCCUGGUAGUCCACGCCGUAAACGAUGUGCACUAGAUGUUGGAGGUAUUGAUCCCUUCGGUGUCGCAGCUAACGCAUUAAGUGCACCGCCUGGGGAGUACGGUCGCAAGAUUAAAACUCAAAGGAAUUGACGGGGGCCCGCACAAGUGGUGGAGCAUGUGGUUUAAUUCGAAGAUACGCGAAGAACCUUACCUAGCCUUGACAUAUAUUAGAACACUUUAGAGAUAGAGUGGUGCCUUCGGGAGCUUUUAUACAGGUGCUGCACGGCUGUCGUCAGCUCGUGUCGUGAGAUGUUGGGUUAAGUCCCGCAACGAGCGCAACCCUCGUCACUAGUUACUAACGGUUCGGCCGAGGACUCUAGUGAGACUGCCUUCGCAAGGAGGAGGAAGGUGAGGACGACGUCAAGUCAUCAUGGCCCUUACGGCUAGGGCAACACACGUGCUACAAUGGCCAGGACAAUGAGAGGCGAUACCGCGAGGUGGAGCAAAUCUAUAAACCUGGUCUCAGUUCGGAUUGUAGUCUGCAACUCGACUACAUGAAGCUGGAAUCACUAGUAAUCGUAGAUCAGCUAUGCUACGGUGAAUACGUUCCCGGGUCUUGUACUCACCGCCCGUCACACCAUGGGAGUUGAUUUCACCCGAAGCGGGGAAGCUAAACUGGCUACCCUCCACGGUGGAAUCAGCGACUGGGGUG
rnacentral:rRNA from 1 species